rnacentral:rRNA from 1 species
AACUUAUGAAAGCUAUAUGCGCCAAGAGAGAGCCUUGCGUUCCAUUAGCUAGUUGGUGGGGUAACGGCCCACCAAGGCGACGAUGGAUAGCCGGCCUGAGAGGGUGAACGGCCACAAGGGGACUGAGACACGGCCCUUACUCCUACGGGAGGCAGCAGUGGGGAAUAUUGGACAAUGGGCCACAAGUCUGAUCCAGCAAUUCUGUGUGCACGAUGAAGGUCUUCGGAUUGUAAAGUGCUUUCAGUUGGGAAGAAGAAAGUGACGGUACCAACAGAAGAAGCGACGGCUAAAUACGUGCCAGCAGCCGCGGUAAUACGUAUGUCGCAAGCGUUAUCCGGAUUUAUUGGGCGUAAAGCGCGUCUAGGCGGAAAAAUAAGUCUGAUGUUAAAAUGCGGGGCUCAACUCCGUAUUGCGUUGGAAACUGUUUUUCUAGAGUACUGGAGAGGUGGGCGGAACUACAAGUGUAGAGGUGAAAUUCGUAGAUAUUUGUAGGAAUGCCGAUGGAGAAGUCAGCUCACUGGACAGAUACUGACGCU